GAUAACGGCGUGAGCGCGGGCUCGGUAAGGCGGAGGUUGGAAGCGUUACGCGGAAUCACUGGGCGUAAAGGAAGCGUAGGCGGUUUAGCAAGUGAGGUGGGAAAUCCUAGGGCUCAACCAUAGAACUGCACUUGAAACUGAUAGACUAGAGUAUGGGAGGGGGAGAUGGAAUUAGUGGUGUAGGGGUAAAAUCCGUAGAUAUCACUAGGAAUAUCUAAAGCGAAGGCGAUCUCCUGGAACAUUACUGACGCUAAGGCGUGAAAGCGUGGGGAGCAAACAGGAUUAGAUACUCGGGUAGUC
rnacentral:rRNA from 1 species